rnacentral:rRNA from 1 species
GACGAACGCUGGCGGCGUGCUUAACACAUGCAAGUCGAACGGAAAGGCCCUGCUUUUGUGGGGUGCUCGAGUGGCGAACGGGUGAGUAACACGUGAGUAACCUGCCCUUGACUUUGGGAUAACUUCAGGAAACUUGGGCUAAUACCGGAUAGGAGCUCCUGCUGCAUGGUGGGGGUUGGAAAGUUUCGGCGGUUGGGGAUGGACUCGCGGCUUAUCAGCUUGUUGGUGGGGUAGUGGCUUACCAAGGCUUUGACGGGUAGCCGGCCUGAGAGGGUGACCGGCCACAUUGGGACUGAGAUACGGACCAGACUCCUACGGGAGGCAGCAGUGGGGAAUAUUGCACAAUGGGCGGAAGCCUGAUGCAGCAAAGCAGCGUGCGGGAUGACGGCCUUCGGGUUGUAAACCGCUUUCGCCUGUGACGAAGCGUGAGUGACGGUAAUGGGUAAAGAAGCACCGGCUAACUACGUG